rnacentral:rRNA from 1 species
UACGUAGGAUGCAAGCGUUGUCCGGAAUUAUUGGGCGUAAAGCGCGUGUAGGCGGCCCGGUAAGUCCGCUGUGAAAGUCGGGGGCUCAACCCUCGGAUGCCGGUGGAUACUGUCGGGCUUGAGUACGGAAGAGGCGAGUGGAAUUCCUGGUGUAGCGGUGAAAUGCGCAGAUAUCAGGAGGAACACCGAUUGCGAAGGCAGCUCGCUGGGACGUUACUGACGCUGAGACGCGAAAGCGUGGGGAGCAAACAGG